rnacentral:rRNA from 1 species
GGGUUGGACCACACUGCCCUAAAAGAAGCAGAUCCCAUUUGAUCUUGGAAGCUAAGCAGGUCAGCUCUGGUUAGUACUCAGAUGGGAGAUCAUCAUUGAAUUCCAAGUGCUAUAGACU